rnacentral:piRNA from 1 species
UUUUCAGUUUGAGGUUACUGAAGGAUGUAC